UGCAUUUUUGAAAUAAGGGUAUCUCUCUUCAAAACCCCUUGGGCAUCACAGUGAUUAGGCUUUUGAUAACAGAUCCCAGGUUAAACUGUUUUAGAGCCUCAGCUGCACCGAUGGAGGAAAAGUCCCAUUUCCUCAGCAGCAAAGGAGGGCACCAGGAGGAUUGUUGCCCCUUGGACCUGUAAUCCUGAAGCAGAAGACAGCUUAUGUUGCAACCUCCCAUGCCCACAGCAGUUACCAGGCCACAAGUUCAGCGUUUGCCUGCAACUUGAAGUCCUAAUGAUGAAGCCUAAGAAAUGUGGGGAGAAGCCAGAGCAAGACAGAAAUACGCUACAAGUGGAGUCAACCUUCAGGAGCAGUCAUUUCUAGAGGGAGA